UUCCCCGCCACCACCGCUGCACCGCGGCCAGCGGAAGCGCCAGGUCCCUUUAAAGCCCUGGCUCUUUUAGAAGAGUGUCAAAAUACGCACCCGCGCGUUGGAGGACUCACCACUGGGGCAAGUAAAAGGUUCCCAAAACUGCAAGACAUCUGGAAGAGUGCCCAGACAGGAACUGGAUUGAGGUGGUAUAGUGAGAAGAAAUGGAAAUAACACUGUAAAAAUGGAUUGAAGAAAUGGAGAAGCAAUAUUUGAGGAAAGGCAAAGGUCCUCCCCAAAAUGUGGUCCUGGCUGGUGAGAUCUUGUUUCAUAAAUGGUGGAAAGAGGGCAGGGAUUCUUACAGACAAGGUACAGCUUGGUUUAGCAUGGUGACAUGAGAUUGGUGCACUUGGAUACUCUCCAGGAACAUCAUUGUUACCUUGGUUACAUACUUCCCAUUUUCACAUUUAAUGAAUGAAAAUAUAAUCCAAUAAUAGCAAAGUUUAAAAAAAAGAGCACUUCAAAACCAGGCUUUAACAAAAUGUAGGGCUUCUUUAACUUGAUCCUACUAAAAAUACAGGUAGAGGAUCUACGUCCUGCUCCCAGCAUUUACAGAACAUGAAGAUUUUGUAGGCUUCAUUCAGCCUUCAAUACCUGAAUGUUCAAUUUCAUAGAUUAUGGUGCUGAGUUUUGCAGAUACGUUAAAAACCAAAGGGAAUACUGUGUGUAAAAUUCACAUGAAAUGCAUGUAUGUUGGAAAACGCAUAGCUAUUUGUUUUUUUUACUUUGUACCAGAUGCAAAUAUUUCUACAUGUAGUUUUGGUAAAACACCAAAACUUCAGAAGCUCAGUUUUGUUACUCCAGAAGAACAGAUUAAAAAAAAAAAAAAAAGAAAAAAAGAAAAUAAAGAGAAAAAUGCAACAGCACCACCCUGCUGCCAUCUCUUUGUCAGAUGGAUAAUAGCAAAAGAUCCACUCAAAGAAUUGCAGUUGGGUUAACUAGCCAAGUUUUUCAAAAGUCAUCUGAAAUGAAAAUGUUAGGCUAACUAAUCCCUACCCCAGCUCAAGCAUGGCAGUAUUCAGCUUUACUGAAGAAAUAAAACUGCUUUAACAUUCCUGGUAGUGAGAAACAGAGGCAGUCCAUGGAGCCAGUGGAAAAAUUGCUUCCAUGAGUAAGGGUUUCAUAGCAACUGCAACAAUAUAGGUCAGGAAGGGAAUAAAAGAAAUUGUUUAGUCCAGUAGUGACAAAAUUCUGGCGCAGGCACCAAGUCUUUAACUGGCAUGGAUCUGGGCUGGCACCAGGAGCUCUGAAUCACAGGGCCUUUGACAAAGAAUUUGGCACUGAGCAUCAGAAGCUUGCUGUCAGUUACUGGUCUGGUCCAGCCCACAGCAGUAAGGCAGGUUUGAACAUAUCCAGACACUGGUGACAAAUAUUUGCCAUCACGUGCUUCACAUUCUCUGGUUGGGAGUCCAUGAGGCCCCCAGUUUCACUCCUAUUGAUACACAGCCAUAUAAUUUUGCAGCAUUUGAAGUUUUCUUCUUGUCCUUCUCCCAGCAUCUGUGAGAACAGCUGGUUGUUGUUCUCUUGAUAAUGACAUCAUUAUUUAUUACAUGUAGAUAUCACCUUAAUGCCUCUGAAGCUUUUCUCAUCCAGGUGACACAAAUCCAGGUCUUGCAUCUUUCCAGCACAUAUCACCGUCUGUGCUUUUCUCUCUGUUACCAAGUUAAUGUAAAAAGUGCAGUGUGAGAAUCUAGGGUAAGAGAAGGUGAUAGAGUUUUACAAAAUCUCUUAAGUACAUUGGCUUUACCCACUCACAGUCCUUUUCUCAAGGUCUGCAUUCCCUUACACUCUCACAUCCACACAAUUACAAGGACCAACAUGUUCAGGUGGUCUGGGCAGGGCCACAACACAGAGGACCAGAGGGCCAUGGAGCUCCAUCCUUGGAGGUACUCAAAAGUCACCUGGACACAGUACAGGUGGUCUUCCUUUAGCAAGGGGCAUGGACAAGAUGACCUACAGAGGUCCCUUCCAACCUCAGCCGUUCUGUGAUUCUGAGAAGAGAUGACUCAUCAGGCAUCAGAUGCUCAACAUCUCCCUUGAGCAAUGACAAACUAAUUUUUGGACAGGUGUUUUGUACCCAAUAACCAAAAAUCAUUAUGACAUGAUUCUUUUGCAUCAGACUCCUGCUUAUUUCCACCUCCAUAAAUUUUAGGCAAGUCUGGUCUGAGUUUCAGUCCGUGUUAUAGAUGGUUUAGAAAUGAAAAGAAUGUGAUGUGAUAUUACCUUCUUAUUUGUUAGAGGUAGAGUCUUCUGCUGGUGGGUAGUCUGUGUUCUGGUUUGACUGGAAUGGUAAAUGCAGGAAACAGUCCUAGAUCUUUCUGUUGGGGACUAUGUCUU